CCUACGGGCGGCAGCAGUAGGGAAUCUUCCACAAUGGACGAAAGUCUGAUGGAGCAACGCCGCGUGAGUGAAGAAGGGUUUCGGCUCGUAAAGCUCUGUUGGUAGGGAAGAAAGAUAGAGGGAGUAACUGGCCUGGAAUGGACGGUAAGUACGGAGAAAGGCACGGCUAACUACGUGCCAGCAGCCGCGGGAAUACGUAGGUGGAAAGCUUUGUCCGGAUUUCUUGGGCGUAAAGCGAGGGCAGGCGGUUCCAUACGUCUGAGGUGAAAGCCUUCGGCUCAACCGGAGAAUUGCAUCCGAAACCUUUGAACUUGAGUGCAGACGAGGCGAGUGUAACUCCAUUUGUAGCG
rnacentral:rRNA from 1 species